rnacentral:rRNA from 1 species
UACGUAGGGGGCAAGCGUUGUCCGGAUUUAUUGGGCGUAAAGAGCGUGUAGGCGGCCUUACAGGUCAGCUGUGAAAACUCGAGGCUCAACCUCGAGACGUCGGUUGAAACCGUAAGGCUAGAGUCCGGAAGAGGAGAGUGGAAUUCCCGGUGUAGCGGUGAAAUGCGCAGAUAUCGGGAAGAACACCCGUGGCGAAGGCGGCUCUCUGGGACGGUACUGACGCUGAGAAGCGAAAGCAUGGGGAGCGAACAGG